UAAUCCACGCCGUAAACGAUGAUAACUAGCUGUCCGAACCCACAGGGUUUGGGUGGCGCAGCUAACGCAUUAAGUUAUCCGCCUGGGGAGUACGGUCGCAAGAUUAAAACUCAAAGGAAUUGACGGGGGCCUGCACAAGCGGUGGAGCAUGUGGUUUAAUUCGACGCAACGCGCAGAACCUUACCAGCUUUUGACAUCCUGGUCGCGGAUUUGGGAGACCAUUUCCUUCAGUUCGGCUGGACCAGUGACAGGUGCUGCAUGGCUGUCGUCAGCUCGUGUCGUGAGAUGUUGGGUUAAGUCCCGCAACGAGCGCAACCCUCAUCCUUAGUUGCCAGCAUUUAGUUGGGCACUCUAAGGAAACUGCCGGUGAUAAACCGGAGGAAGGUAAGGAUGACGUCAAGUCAGCAUGCCCCUUAUGCUCUGGGCUACACACGUGCUACAAUGGCCGUGACAAAGAGUUGCUACUUUGUGAAACAAGCUAAUCUCAUAAACGCGG
rnacentral:rRNA from 1 species